UACGGAGGGGGCAAGCGUUGUCCGGAAUGAUUGGGCGUAAAGCGCGUGUAGGCGGUUCGGUAAGUCGGAUGUGAAAGUCCAGGGCUCAACCCUGGGAUGCCGGUCGAUACUGCCGGACUAGAGUUCGGAAGAGGCGAGUGGAAUUCCCGGUGUAGCGGUGAAAUGCGUAGAUAUCAAGUGGAACACCAGUGGCGAAGGCGAAUCCCUGGAAAAUACCUGACACUGAGGCACGAAAGCUAGGGGAGCAAACAGG
rnacentral:rRNA from 1 species